rnacentral:rRNA from 1 species
GCAGUCGAACGGUAACAGGCCGCAAGGUGCUGACGAGUGGCGAACGGGUGAGUAAUGCAUCGGAACGUGCCCAGUCGUGGGGGAUAACGCAGCGAAAGCUGCGCUAAUACCGCAUACGAUCUAUGGAUGAAAGCGGGGGACCAUAAGGCCUCGCGCGAUUGGAGCGGCCGAUGUCAGAUUAGGUAGUUGGUGGGGUAAAGGCUCACCAAGCCAACGAUCUGUAGCUGGUCUGAGAGGACGACCAGCCACACUGGGACUGAGACACGGCCCAGACUCCUACGGGAGGCAGCAGUGGGGAAUUUUGGACAAUGGGCGCAAGCCUGAUCCAGCAAUGCCGCGUGCAGGAAGAAGGCCUUCGGGUUGUAAACUGCUUUUGUACGGAACGAAACGGUCUGGGUUAAUACCUCGGGCUAAUGACGGUACCGUAAGAAUAAGCACCGGCUAACUACGUGCCAGCAGCCGCGGUAAUACGUAGGGUGCAAGCGUUAAUCGGAAUUACUGGGCGUAAAGCGUGCGCAGGCGGUUUUGUAAGACAGGCGUGAAAUCCCCGGGCUCAACCUGGGAAUGGCGCUUGUGACUGCAAGGCUGGAGUGCGGCAGAGGGGGAUGGAAUUCCGCGUGUAGCAGUGAAAUGCGUAGAUAUGCGGAGGA